rnacentral:rRNA from 1 species
CUCGUAGGCGGCCAACUAAGUCAGACGUGAAAUCCCUCGGCUUAACCGGGGAACUGCGUCUGAUACUGGAUGGCUUGAGGUUGGGAGAGGGAUGCGGAAUUCCAGGUGUAGCGGUGAAAUGCGUAGAUAUCUGGAGGUACACCGGUGGCGAAGGCGGCAUCCUGGACCAAUUCUGACGCUGAGUGAGCGAAAGCCAGGGGAGCAAACG